UACGUAGGGGGCCAGCGUUGCUCGGAACUACUGGGCGUAAAGGGUUCGUAGGUGGUGCGGCAAGUUGGGAGUGAAAUCUCUGGGCUUAACUCAGAGGCUGCUUUCAAAACUGCCGCGCUCGAGUGCGAGAGAGGUCAGUGGAAUUGCAGGUGUAGCGGUGAAAUGCGUAGAUAUCUGCAGGAACACCCGUGGCGAAGGCGGCUGACUGGAUCGCAACUGACACUGAGGAACGAAAGCUAGGGGAGCAAACAGG
rnacentral:rRNA from 1 species